AUGGCUCAGAACGAACGCUGGCGGCGCGUUUAAGCAUGCAAGUCGAGCGGCAAGGGCCUUCGGGCCCCUAGAGCGGCGGACGGGUGAGUAACACGUGGACAAUCUGCCCCCCGGCCCGGGAUAGCCCAGGGAAACCUGGAUUAAUACCGGAUGAGACGGGACCCGCGAUGGCGGGACCCGGGAAAGGCGCUGCGGCGCCGCCGGGGGAUGAGUCUGCGUCCCAUUAGCUAGACGGCGGGGUAACGGCCCACCGUGGCGACGAUGGGUAGCCGGCCUGAGAGGGUGGACGGCCACAUUGGAACUGAGACACGGUCCAGACUCCUACGGGAGGCAGCAGCUAAGAAUCUUCCGCAAUGGGCGAAAGCCUGACGGAGCCGACGCCGCGUGAACGAAGAAGGCCGUGAGGUUGUAAAGUUCUUUUCGGGAGGGGGAACAACCGUGGCAGGGAAUGGCCGCGGGAUGACGUGAAUCCCGGAAUAAGCCCCGGCUAACUACGUGCCAGCAGCGGC
rnacentral:rRNA from 1 species